rnacentral:lncRNA from 1 species
AUUACUUUCCCAUUGUUCCUGAAUUUGUUAUCCUGUAUAUAAACAGAAACAUGGAUGAGUUAAAAAAAAAAAAAAAAAAAAAAAAAGUUUAAAGAUAAUAAUGUUAGAUUCAAUUACAUAUGGGCUGUCCUGUAAUCCCUGUUUCUCCCUCUUUUUUGUUUUUGUCAUCAGUUGUUCAACUGUAUGAAAUCAUAACUGAGCAUUGCAAUAAAUCACUUCCCUAUAAAUUUAUAGGUAUAGAAGUUAUAAUUGGUUGAAUAGUCCCAGGUUGUUCAUCAGGCCCUUCACAAGGCAAAAUAUAACUACUUGGAUAUACUUCAGGGGCUUUACCAACUCCAACUAUGUUAAAUUGAGUGGGUUGAACUGGCCAAGUGGAUGGCCAGUGCUGUAGAGAAAUAAUUGAAAUGUCCGCUCCUGUAUCUACAAAACCUUUAAAUUUCUUUCCCUGAAUAGUUAUUUCACAGGUAGGAUGUUUAUCAGUAAUUUGAUUCACCCAGUAAGCUGCUUUGCCUUGUUUAGUUGUGCUUCCAAAUCCUCCUGUUAGUUUAAUUUCACUUUUCCCCGUUUCCAUAUACGGCACAAUCAGGAGCUGUGCUAUACGCUCUCCUGGCUCUGCUUUACAGGGAACAGAAGUAGAUAUAACAAUUUGAAUUUCCCCAUUGUAAUCUGAAUCAAUGACUCCUGUUUGUAUUUGUACCCCUUUUAAAUUUAAACUAGACCUUCCUAAAAGUAAUCUUAUCGUCCCCGCUAGCAAGGGUCCACAGACCCCUGUUGGAACUUUUUGUGGGAGUUCCCCAGGCAGAAGGCUCACAGUUUUUGUGCAGCAAAAAUCUACUGCAGCACUACUGGCUGUGGUGGGGGACAGACAUUGUACAGACGUGAGGGAAUGGCCUGAGCCAGAAAUGCCUCGGUUUGGAACGGGGCCAGGGACGGGCCCCUCAUGGGUUUCCCAAAUUUAAAAGGAAGAGGCUCAAAUGUAGCUAUAAUAUUUCUCUGUUGAUCUGGGGGGUGUAUUCUAACAGGGAACUGCCAAGCCUCUAAAUCACCCUCUCAUCUAGCUCGCUGAAUUCCUGCCUGAAUAGAACUGAGAGCGGUCGCUUGAGGCUCUGCUCGAACAGUCACUGGGGCAACUACUUUUCACCCAGUAUCCUCUGGAAAAGAAAGAUCUGGAGGGCCAGGCCACUCUUUUUCUUCAAAAUAAGGAGGGGGUACAGAAGGGUAGGGAUGAACCUCUCCCUCCUUUGCCGCUAUAGCUUUAGCUGGCAAACAAACCUGCUCUGUCACAUCUUCUGUUACUCAUUACACUUUCCUUCUUCCUCAUCAUUAGUGUGAAAAGGUUCCAAGGUGGAAAGAACCAGAGCUCACACUUGUCCCAUUGUUACCUUGAUGCUUCCAAGCUCACUUUCUUACUCACCGCGGGGAUUGCUUUAAGAGUACUCAUGUGUCCUCCAGCUUAGUUCCACAUUCUCCAACUGUCGCUCUGGCAACCCUUCGACCUGGGUUCAAGCCCCAUGUAUGGGCACCACUUGCCAAGACCAGCUCGGUCAGGGAGACCCUAACCCAGCGGCACUAAAGGAAUUAAAGACACACAUACAGAAAUAUAGAUUGUGGAGUGGGAAAUCAGGGGUCUCACAGCCUUCAGAGCUCAGAGCCUUGAACAGAGAUUUACCAACAUAUUUAUUGACAGCAAGCCAGUGAUAAGCAUUGUUUCUAUAGAUUAUAAGUUAACUAAAAGUAUUCCUUAUGGGAAAUAAAGGGAUGGGCCGAGGUAAAGGGAUGGGCUCUGGCUAGUUAUCUGCAGCAUGAACAUGUCCUUAAGGCACAGAUAGCUCAUGCUAUUGUUUGUGGUUUAAGAAUGCCUUAAGUGGUUUUCUGCCCUGGGUGGGCCAGGUGUUCCUUGCCCUCAUUCCGGUAAACCAACAACCUUCUAGCGUGGGUGUCAAGGUCACCAUGAGCAUGUCACAGUGCUACAGAGAUUUUGUUUAUGGCCAGUUUUGGCGCCAGUUCAUAGCCAGAUUUUGGGGCCUGUUCCCAACAAAUAUGACCUCAAAAGCAAAUGCAACAAAAACAAAAAUAAAUAAAUGGGACCUAAUUAAACUAAAAAGUUUCUGCACAGCAAAAGUAAUAAUCACAGUAAACAGAUAAUGAAUAAAAUGAAAGAAAAUAUUUGCAAACUAUGCAUCCAACAAAGGUCCAAUAUCUAGAAUAUACAAGGAACUCAAACAAAUCAGCAAAAAAAAAAAGUCCCAUCAAUAAGUGGGCAAAUGACAUGAACAGACAUUUCUCAAAAGAAGAUAUACAAAAUACAAAUGGCCAAAAAACAUGAAAAAAUACUCAACAUCACUAAUCAUCAGGAAAAUGCAAAUUAAAACCACAAUCUGAUACCACCUUACCCCUACAAGAAAGGCCAUUAUUAAAAAGUUAAAAAAUAAGAGAUGUUGAUGUGGAUGUGGUGAAGAGGGAAUGCUUAAACACUGUUGGUGACAAUGUAAAUUAGUACAACCUGUAUGGAAAAUAGUAUGGAUAAUUCUUAAAGAACUAAAAGUAGUAGAUCUACCAUUCAAUGAAGUGAUCCCACUACUGCAUAUCUACCCAAAGAAAAAGAAGUAAUUAUAUCAAAAAUACACUUGUAUGUAUAUGUUUAUUGUAGCAAAAUUCACAAUUGCAAAACUAUGGAACCAACCUAAAUGUCCAUCCACUAAUGAGUAGAUCAAGAAAAUGUAGUAGGCUAGGUGCAGUGGCUCAUGUCUGUAAUCCCAGCACUUUUGAAGGCCAAGGUGGGAGGAUCACUUGAGUCCAGGAGUUCAAGACUAGCCUAGGCA